AUAAAAAAAUUGAGAUGAAGAGUGCAAAAAUAUAAAGUAGACAAAGAGCGCUAAAAGGUUGCGCUAUUGCGCUAAUGGAACUGUAGCUGGUUCUCUAUAUUAGGCUUCCUUUAUUUUCAACGUCUAAAAAUCCCUUGAUUUUAUUGCCAAGGAAUCAUGGGGGAAACUGGCAAGAACAAGAAGGAUUUCAAGAUGAAAUUCAGCAAUGACAUGAAACCAGACGCAGCCAGUAGUGCAUGGAAGAAGAUAGAGGACGUUGAAGUGACAGAAUUCAUGCGUACAAUAAGGGGCGAUACCAAAUUUGAACAGGCUGGGCGAUUUGAUCAAAAGACAGAUAUAAUCAGGGAAACUAUUGUGGAUGUGCAGAAUUUGCUGAUUGAAAUGGGGAUUCUGAUCAAUAAAAUGAGGGGUGAUUUCAGAUUUACAGAGGCUCCACUAAGUCAAAAGGCAGAGAUCAUACAUGAUACUGAUAUGAUGACGCAAUUCAAUGAGGAGCAACCUAUGCAGUAGAUGCCAAUGUUGAGAUUCAUGAGUCUGAGGUAAAAACUUCUGAGCGUGUGGUAAUUUAUGAUGGGAGUUGCAGCACUGGUGAUGCCGGAGAAAAUGAAGCCUAACAUGCUCUACGGUUCAAAGAUACAGAGUUGAUAAGGAUAGAACGGAAGUGGUCACUGAGAUAUUAGAAAGCAAUCCGAAUAUAUUUUAGCUUGAAGCCUGUUGCAAUUUUCAUUUAUGAUCUUUUUAGAGACUUUGAGUGAUUGAGUUUAUGUGUCUUGGAACAGUGUCAAUCUUUGGGAUUUUAUUUACGAGUCUAGAAGUGAAUAAUAUAAGUGAGUUGGAGUCUGCAGUGGUUGUAAUGCUAGGCGAAUAUAAGUUUCGAGAACACAUGUUGAUGGAUUGGUAUUUUUGUUAGUAAAAGUUACCGCGUAGAACUGCAAUCAUUAAAAUUAGAAA